rnacentral:other from 2 species
GCUCCACUGGGGUACUCGCCAGCAAAGCGUAUUCCUGAGCCGAUAUUUUAUCUUAGGAUUUGGGCGACAAUGCUUUGUUGUGCAUGCCUGCAUCUUUUUGAUGUAUCAGGAAGCCGUAAUAAGCAUGGCUCUUAUCCGCCUUGAACUUCACGGUUCAUGGUUUCCCUUUGUAGCGGUACCUUGGUUUUUUU